AGCUGCAAUCAUACCCGAACUAAUGCAAUGGAUUGCAUCAGAACUCCACAAUUAAGGGCUUUGGCGAGAGUAGUAUUAGAAUAAGUGACCUCAUUGGAAGUCCUUGUGUUACACCUU